AUUCAGACUGUCUACACUGUGUAAAUCUGUUAUUCUCUCUGAACUCAGAAAUAAAGAAUCUUCGUUUGACUUAGACUCCAGCCGAUCCUCAUAUUAAAAUAUCCACCACACAUCCCUACGGUGAAUCGUGGUGGCAGCAUCAUGCUGUGGGGGAUGUUUUUCACCGUAGGAGUGGCUUCGGGACGAGUCUCGGAAUGUCCUUGAGUGGGCCAGCCAGAGCCCAGACUUGAACCCGAUCGAACAUCUCUGGAGAGACCUGAAAAUAUCUGUGCAGCGACGCUUCCCAUCCAACCUGACAGAACUUGAGAGGAUCUGCAGAGAAGAUUGGGAGAAACUCUCCAAAUACAGGAAAAGGGAUAAGGAAAGAACAGUGUUUCUGACCUGUAUUCUGUUGGAAGACUCAGCGAUUGAACCCCUGCUACUCGUCAUGGAACAGAUAAAGUCAUUUAUUUUACAGUUCAACCUGCCCAGAGGUCCACAUGAAGGAAAAGCAACUUAUGUUGGGACAGUUUUACUCGCUAUUUUUUUAUUUAACCUUUUUAACUAGGCAAGUCAGUUAAGAACAAAUUCCUAUUUACAAUGACUGCCUUGGAACAGUGGGUUCUGCCUGCUAACCUGGGCUUCAGAGCACUGGUCAUCUCCCCAACUAGAGAACUGGCCAGCCAGAUACACACACACUCACCUUAAAUAGCCAGCUAACCUGAGCUUUAUUUAGAACAGUGUUUCCCAACUCCAGUCCUCCAGUAUGCCCAAUAGCACACGUUUGUGUUACAGGCCCAGCUCCAACAGUAAUAUGGUUAGAAAUACAGGCCCAGCUCCCACAGUAAUAUGGUUAGAAAUACAGGCCCAGCUCCAACAGUAAUACGGGUAGAAAUACAGGCCCAGCUCCCACAGUAAUACGGUUAGAAAUACAGGCCCAGCUCCAACAGUAAUGCGGUUAGAAAUACAGGCCCAGCUCCCACAGUAAUACGGUUAGAAAUACAGGCCCAGCUCCCACAGUAAUACGGUUAGAAAUACAGGCCCAGCUCCAACAGUACUAUGGUAAGAAAUACAGGCCCAUCUACAACAAUAACUACAGUACGUAGGCAGGGAAUAUAUUCAAAUGAUAUGUAAAUACGUUGAGCUCUUUCUUUUUUCUCUCUCCCCUUUCUUACCCACCUCUCUCUCUCCCUGCCCUCCCCUCCUCCCUCCCCCUUUCACUCCCUACCUACUUCAUCUCCCACCCGCUCCUCCCUCCCCUCUCACUCCCAUUCCUACUUCCUCUCUCCCUUUCUUUUUUAUUUCUCUCUCUCUCCCUUCCCUCUCUUCCUCUUCCUCACAGCCAGGGGAAAGAAAACAGCAGUAAACAACUGUAUAGCUCUUUAUUCCACAGAAAUAAUAUUAUAUUGCGUAUGUUUUUAGAAACAGUGAUUUCAUUGUAUUCUUUGUUUUGUCGAAGUCAAUUAAGAACUAAUUCUUAUUUACAAUGACAACCUGUCCAGAGGUGGAGACAACAGUUAAAUAGAACAACACAACACACAGACAUCAGACAUUAAAAGAGGUCACCAUGACAGAUGCACAAGACAGAUAUACAUGGCAACAGUGCUUUCAUUGGUAGCAGUACUGCUAAAAACUCUACGCAUCUGAGGUGGAAUAGAUUUAGCAUUUAUUUGCAUAUUGUUGAAACCAUAGUGCUCGGCAGAUCUGUUGUUACUCAGACUUGUAGGAAAACCUCUGAGUUUGAGCACCUCGUUUGGUAGAUUUUGUAAUGUUAUUGAUCUUCAACCAGAUAUAAAGGAGAGGAGAAAACAUGAAGGGGAAAGAGGAAGGUGGAAGUCUCCGGGAUUGAACCCUUACCACUAGGAUUACAUCCUGAAUCCAGGAUGCAACGCUACCACUAGACCAAACUCAAACUAGUCAUGGAACAGAUAAAGUUAUUUUACAGUUCAACCUCCCCAGAGGUCCACAUGAAGAAAAAGCAAGAAUGAACACUCAAAUGAUCAACUUGACCAGGCAGUCCCAGAACCCCUCUCUGGAGAGACCAACCCUCCUCCCAGCAUCACCCCUCUUCCUGGUCCAGUCCAGUGUGUAGACAACCCCUCAGGUGAUCCUGGAGAGGUGGUCUAUGACACAGACACAUUUCCCAUCAGACAUCAGCCUCCUGGUCCAGUCCAGUGUGUAGACAACCCCUCAUCCGCCUCCUGUGAAAUGUAAAGUGUGACGGUUCAUCCUCCUAGAUCUAUCUGCUGCCUUACACACCAUGAACAAUCAGAUCCUCUCAUGGUUGGGUGCCUCAGGCUCUGCACACUCUUGGCUUGCAGAUUGUCAAAUAAACAAACAUUUUUGCUAAAAUGAUGAUUAUAUUAUUGAUUGAUUGACUAUGGCUUUUCAAAUCACCCCGUAUUGCUAUCUGCAAUGUUAGUUCUAGGCAAAUGUUGCAAUUCUUCAGCCAUUCCUGGACCUGUGACCAAAAACAAGCUACAUAUGGACAAUACCAAAAUAAAUGAUCCACUGACUGCCUCCUCUCAGCAAGAUCUGCAGAGCUUGGUUGCAAAUCAAAUCAAAUCAAAUCAAAUUUAUUUAUAUAGCCCUUCGUACAUCAGCUGAUAUCUCAAAGUGCUGUACAGAAACCCAGCCUAAAACCCCAAACAGCAAACAAUGCAGGUGUAAAAGCACGGUGGCUAGGAAAAACUCCCUAGAAAGGCCAAAACCUAGGAAGAAACCUAGAGAGGAACCGGGCUAUGUGGGGUGGCCAGUCCUCUUCUGGCUGUGCCGGGUAGAGAUUAUAACAGAACAUGACCAAGAUGUUCAAAUGUUCAUAAAUGACCAGCAUGGUCGAAUAAUAAUAAGGCAGAACAGUUGAAACUGGAGCAGCAGCAGUCAGGUGGAAUGGGGACAGCAAGGAGCCAUCAUGUCAGGUAGUCCUGGGGCACUGUCCUAGGGCUCAGGUCCUCCGAGAGAGAGAGAAAGAAAGAGAGAAUUAGAGAGAGCAUAUGUGGGGUGGCCAGUCCUCUUUUGGCUGUGCCGGGUGGAGAUUAUAACAGAACGUGGCCAAGAUGUUCAAAUGUUCAUAAAUGACUAGCAUGGUUGAAUAAUAGUAAGGCAGAACAGUUGAAACUGGAGCAAGAAUUCUGUAUAGUAAUUUAAAUUGAAAAAUGUAAAGCUUUGAAUCCAGCUUUGUUUUGCGUAUCAAUUCAUAAACAAUGUGUCAUGGAAUGGGUCGAAAAACAUCGAAAAUCUCUUCCCAACUAUUUUGCAAUUUAUAUGGCACAGCUAUCAGUGUUUUGGUCCUUAAAUGAAAUUGCUAUAUGUUUUAAUUUAUCACACUUUUCUUUAAUGCAGGGCCGACAUAUAAGUUCCUUACUUUUUUCUCCUUCUACUUGCCUCUUCCAUUUUUUGGUUGUAAUUUUGGGUAGAGCAGACAUUUCUAUAUGUGUGUGUUAACUGCAUGUGUAACAUAACUCCACCAGUCCUAUUUAUGAUAUCAUUCACUAAGAUUAUACCUUUUUUUUUCUUUGAAUAAUACGUUGUUUUUUUUAUUAUAAAUUAGCAUAUUCGAGUUUAACCACAAUAUUAGUUGUAUUAUUUGUUCUGUCUUUUCAGAUCGAUUAAACUGAAAUUGCAACCAA